GGCAGUAUGGAUUAGUGGAUGGAGCGCUGUACUGGGACUCAGGAAACCUGGUUUCUAUUCCCAGUUCUGCCA
rnacentral:tRNA from 1 species